rnacentral:lncRNA from 1 species
UAGUCUCCUAUACUAUAUAUCUAUGGUACUAGAGCUCCGUACUAUAGUCUCGUUUUCGAUCUUAGGGUGUUCAAAUCAACGAUCCACACCGUUAAAACUGAUCUAAGGUAUUUAAAGUUUUUAGAGAAAUAAAAUUUUAUAUUUUUUCAACAUAGUUUACUUUAUGAUCAAACCAUUUCAAAAUUGUCAAUUUUCAAUGGCUACUAUGGCGAGUUUAGAGUUUAACGGUGUAGAAGAAUCUAAAUUCUUCAAAUUUUGAUAGAAAAUAUUUUAAACUAUCUAGAUUAAGGUUAACAUUCUUGAUCUUAAAUUUAAAAGUCCUAUACUCAAAUUUUAAAAAUUAAUAAACUUUUACUGUCAAUUUUAACAUAAUUUAUUUACUAAGUAAAUGAUAUCGAAAAAAAUUAAAAUUUUAUUUCUAAGAACUUCAUAUAUCUUAGAUCAUAUUUAAUGGUGUGGAUCGUUAAUUUGAAUAUCCUAAAAUCGAAAACAAGACUAUAGCAAUGGAGCUCCGGUACUAUAGAUAAUAUAGUAGCUUAAUUCUCUCCCUCUCUCUCUCUCUCUCUCUCUCUCUAUAUAUAUAUAUAUAUAUAUAUUCAAA